rnacentral:rRNA from 1 species
UACGGGGGGGGGCAAGCGUUGUUCGGAAUUACUGGGCGUAAAGGCUCGUAGGCGGCCAACUAAGUCGGAUGUGAAAUCCCCAGGCUUAACCUGGGAACUGCAUCCGAUACUGGAUGGCUUGAAUCCGGGAGAGGGAUGCAGAAUUCCAGGUGUAGCGGUGAAAAUGCGUAGAUAUCUGGAGGAAUACCGGUGGCGAAAGGCGGCAUCCUGGACCCGGCAUUGACGCUGAUGAGCGAAAAAGCUAACGGGGGGAGCAAACGGGG